AUUGAACGCUGGCGGCAUGCCUUACACAUGCAAGUCGAACGGCAGCACGGGAGCAAUCCUGGUGGCGAGUGGCGAACGGGUGAGUAAUAUAUCGGAACGUGCCCAGUCGUGGGGAUAACGUAGCGAAAGCUACGCUAAUACCGCAUACGAUCUAUGGAUGAAAGCGGGGGAUCGCAAGACCUCGCGCGAUUGGAGCGGCCGAUAUCAGAUUAGGUAGUUGGUGAGGUAAGGCUCACCAAGCCGACGAUCUGUAGCUGGUCUGAGAGGACGACCAGCCACACUGGGACUGAGACACGGCCCAGACUCCUACGGGAGGCAGCAGUGGGGAAUUUUGGACAAUGGCGCAAGCCUGAUCCAGCAAUGCCGCGUGCAGGAUGAAGGCC
rnacentral:rRNA from 1 species